AGAGCCAGCCUCAUUCCUGCCAAACCCUCGGGGACCUGGGGACAAUGAAACCGAGCUGGAUCCUGCAGGAUGGGCAGAACUUUGGUCCUGCAGUGCAGCCCAGCCAGGCUGUGGGAUAAAAGAUGUGCUUAAGAUCAAAGGAAGAGCACCACCACACAGAGGCAUUAAAGCUCACAGAGCUCAGCAAGAGGAUGGAGUCUCUUAUCCCAGCUGGAGCAUUUCCCCCAGUGAAAACGUGGCCAACCUGGGACAUUUCUCCUCCAGGGCAGCCUGGGACUCACUGCAGCCCUGAGGAGCUGGCCAGGCUGGCUGGAGCUCCACAGCCACUCACUGGGCUCACGCUGGGUCACAAUAGGACACAAAAUGAGCAACGUGCACAGGCUGAGAUGUCCAAGGGGAUGUUCACAAGGCUGUGCACAAAAUAAGUCUGAAAAUUGUGGCUACUUCAAAUGAAAGUACAUGGAGAUAAUGUCUCAGUGUGGAGGUGGUGCCCUGAACGCUGUUCUGGACAGUUCCUGCUCUCUCUCCAUGGAGGAUUUUGGCUGCUGUGCUUAAGAGCAAGUGGAGCUGCUUUGCCACUUCAUUCCAAGUUUUCAUAUGACAAUGAAAAAAUGUUUUGGAUGAUCACAUUCUCUGGUGGGGCCUUUCCCUCAUUUGUGUUGUUAACCAACAUUAAGAUCUGCAUUUUCAUGCCAGCAAAGUCUCCACAGGUAAAACUUUGAUGUACAACAUAUGGAAUACAUAUUUUAAUAAUUCAGUGUAAUUGUGAUGGAAAAGAAACCAUUGGUGCUGGUAUUUGAGCCUUAAUGAAUAUUGUGAUGCCUUUAAUCACCUUGAUCUCAUUGGCAUUUCAGCAGAGCUGGGUUUAGAAAAGGUGAUUAUAAUAUUUUAAUAUUAUAAUCAAAUAUUCAUGAAGCAACAGCAGUAGUUAGUUCUUCCAUAUUACAACUUGGAUAUUGUUGUAAUAUUACUCCAUUGUUCUGGAGAUGGUUGGACUCAUGAUCCUAAAGGUCUCUUCCAAUCUUAAUAAUUCCACGAUUUCUGACACCUUCCAAAGCAUUGUCCUGACCCCUUCACUCAGUUCUAACAGUCCCAGUGACAUCUGUGAAUGAAAUUAAUUUAUAUUUGAAUGUGGGACCAAAGAGCAAUCAAACAGAUCCUAAAUAGGCAACAAUUGCUCAAUAAAUACUUUUAGUUAAAUAUAAUAAAUAAAUUAAAUAUCUGUUUGUUUUAAUCUUAUUCUCAGAUGGCAAACAGUUGUUCCUUAUGGCUCAUGAAACAAAUGCAGCUCAAAAAACCUCAAGCAUUUGUUUUUGGUAUAAAAACAAACAUAUUUGACUGAUUAAAGAAAUUAAAUUAUUAUUUGAUUCAUUUGGACACUUUGUGCUGUGCUACAGGU